rnacentral:rRNA from 1 species
AGGACGAACGCUGGCGGCACGCUUAACACAUGCAAGUCGAACGGUAGUUUUUAACGGAAGUCUUCGGACGGAAGGUAAAAGACUUAGUGGCGGACGGGUGAGUAACACGUGAGUAAUCUGCCUUACAGAGGGGGAUAACGUUCUGAAAAGAACGCUAAUACCGCAUAAGCCAACAAAAUCGCAUGGUUUAGUUGGAAAAGGAGCGAUCCGCUGUAAGAUGAGCUCGCGUCCGAUUAGCUAGUUGGCGGGGUAACGGCCCACCAAGGCGACGAUCGGUAGCCGACCUGAGAGGGUGAUCGGCCACAUUGGAACUGAGAUACGGUCCAGACUCCUACGGGAGGCAGCAGUGGGGAAUAUUGGGCAAUGGGGGAAACCCUGACCCAGCAACGCCGCGUGAAGGAAGAAGGCUUUCGGGUUGUAAACUUCUUUACCAGGGACGAAGGACGUGACGGUACCUGGAGAAAAAGCAACGGCUAACUACGUG